AUAAAAAGAAAAUUAUAUUUACACGUGUCAAAAUCUGAGAUCGAUAAAUUUAACUCGUGGCACGACCCUGUGAGUUACUAACUUUGAAAACCAUAGCAUAGUUUUCAAAGUUAGUAACUCAUAAGAUCGUGACACGUGGUAAAUCUAUUGAUUUUAGAUUUUGAUAUGUGUAAAACAAAAUUUUCAUUUUUAU